rnacentral:rRNA from 1 species
UACGUAGGGGGCAAGCGUUGUCCGGAUUUAUUGGGCGUAAAGAGCGUGUAGGCGGCCAGACAGGUCCGCUGUGAAAACUCGAGGCUCAACCUCGAGAUGUCGGUGGAAACCGUCUGGCUAGAGUCCGGAAGAGGAGAGUGGAAUUCCCGGUGUAGCGGUGAAAUGCGCAGAUAUCAGGAAGAACACCCGUGGCGAAGGCGGUUCUCUGGGACGGUACUGACGCUGAGACGCGAAAGCGUGGGGAGCGAACAGG